GAUGAACGCUGGCGGCGUGCCUAAUACAUGCAAGUCGAGCGGACGGACCAGAAUCUUGCUUCUCUGAUGUUAGCGGCGGACGGGUGAGUAACACGUGGAUAACCUACCUAUAAGACUGGGAUAACUUCGGGAAACCGGCGCUAAUACCGGAUGAUAUUUUGAACCGCAUGGUUCAAAAGUGAAAUACGGUCUUGCUGUCACUUAUAGAUGGAUCCGCGCUGCAUUAGCUAGUUGGUAAGGUAACGGCUUACCAAGGCAACGAUGCAUAGCCGACCUGAGAGGGUGGUCGACCAGAUUGGAACUGAGGCUGAGCCGAGACACCUGGGGGGAGCAGCAGUAGGGAAUCUUACGCAAUGGGGGAAAGCCUGAUAGAGCAACGCCGCGGGAGUGAUGAAGGUCUUCGGAUCGUAAAACUCUGUUAUUCGUGAGGAAGAUAUGUGUAAGUAACUGUGCACAUAUUGACGGUACCUAAUCAGAAAGCCACGGCUAACUACGUG
rnacentral:rRNA from 1 species